AAGACUAUACUUUCAGGGAUCAUUUCUAUAGUUCGUUACUAGAGAAGUUUCUCUGAUCGUGUAGAGCACCAAGAUUAGCAAAGGC
rnacentral:snoRNA from 1 species